AAAAAGGAACACACGCAGCAUUGAGGAGGAAGGAGAAUGAUUGACCUCCUCAAACAAAGUGGCUGUGAGCGGAGGAUCUGCGGCAAACUGUGCAGGACUGCUUCAUCUAUAGAAAUCCAGGUAGCAGCCGGUAAAUUGAGUGGCACCUCAGAGAAUAAAAGCUGUUGGAGAUCUCAUGUUGUGGGACGGACCACUUGGCAAGACAGUUGGAGGUUCUCAUCCUGAGCUCUUUGAGGGACUUAUCUUGUCAGCCCGUCUUUCCAAUACACACUUUGCAAGAUCCAUGAGGACAGCUGCUGCAAAGUCAUUACCACUGUCCAAGGAAUAAAGAUGCUUCUGGUUCAGAGGAGCCUGGAUCUUCACACCAGGACCAGCCUGUCCAUCAUAUUUCCUGAACUGUGGACAGAACUGGUCUCCAGCUACUUCAGCAGCUGAUGGAAAUCACUUUUAAGUCGAGCACAGUUAAAUGGACACAGAUCUUGUGCCGUUAUUGCUGUGAUGAGCCGUGUUAUCUCUUUGCAGGGAGUCGGGUGUGGUCAUCUGUGGUGAUUAUCUACACAACCUUUUAGAUUAAACUGCUCACCAGCGUUGUACGUUAAUAAAAUAUUAAUAAUUAGUUUAGCUGACGAGUAUUUCUGGUGCAGACUCGUCUGGGCAGCAACACUUAGUCACCUAUUUGAUCAUGUCUUUGGGUUUGACACAUAAUAAUGCAAUUUAUUAUUAUUAUUAUUAUUAUUAUUAUUAUUAUUAUUGUUGUUGUUGUUGUUGUUAUUAUUAUUAUUAUUAUUAUUAUUAUUAUUAUUA